CAUCCACUAGAGAGAAGUUUGUUUUAUCUCUAUUAUUAUUUUUAAGGAAAACUCGUCAGAUGUAUUCAUUCAUAUCAUAUCUGGUAGGUAGGGUAGCAGAAUGGAUGAAUAUGCUUUCCCUUGAUGUCUUGGGAAAGAGAACGGAAAGGAGGCACAAAUGUUAUGCCACCUUAUUUAUGUGAACUGCAAAUUUAUAUUUUUUUUUGGUACACGUUAAUCUUUUGUGUGUGAUUACUUAGAUUAGGGGCCUUGAUCAUCAGUGCUGAUUGAAUGUCUGCUCAAGCUGCUCAUCUACAACCCAAAGUUUAAUCUAAAGGUACAACAAUAGGUACAGUUUUAUUAUGCCAGGUGCCUUACAUCACUACUGCUUUGAUGGAUGCGAAGCUUGGCACGGAAGGGCGCAAGGAUCUUUUUGAUUGGCUAUCAAGGCAACUUAGUGGAUUAAGCAAUUUUCCUGAUGCUGUAAAUCUGAAUUAUGUAUUGUUUCAAUUUGUUAUGCUAGAUGGAUGUGACUUGUGAAUGAAAA